AUUUCUGACCGUUCAAUCUAUGGCAAAGGCAGACUUUUUCCGAUCCUUCACCGUCUCGGAUUUAGUUUUCUCACCAUUGAAGAUCUAAUUUUCCUACCUUUCUCCAUGAGACGCUUUCCUUUAGGUCUCGGGGUGCUGAUUUUGCUUCACCGCCGUUCGUGGAUUAUGAGUCCGGAAAGUAUUUGUUCAGAUAUGAUGUAUUUGUAGCUUGGGUUUUUUCCCCUUUAGUUUGAUCUUGUAUUCGGGAGUUUUCAUUUGCUUGCCGACUUUAAUCUCUACAAGGAUUGUUUCCUUGUCGGCCUUUGUAAUCAUGUGACUCUAAAUUUUAUCAAUAAAAUCCUUAUUCUACUAAG
rnacentral:sRNA from 1 species